GAGAAGGAAAGCUGAAGGCAGUGCGUAAACUGGGGUUAGCUCACAGAGGGUCAGGCGGAGCUGAGAGUGGAAGCCAGAGACCUACAUAAGGCCAGGGGAAAGAGCAAGAGCUUUGAAAGCUGAAAGACCCACACUCAGAUCCUGACUUUGCCCUGUCUUAGUUGUAUGAUCUUAAGCACACUGUUUCACUUCCCACAGACUCAGUUUCCCCAUCUGUAAAAUGGAGGCAGGAGUGAGAACAGCCACCUCAGGAGUUGUUGAGAGGAUGAAAAGACAAUAUAUAUACAUGAGCCCUACGAGCAGUGCCAGGCACAGAGGAAGCAGGCACUAAAGGAAGCUCUCGUUAUGAUUAGCUUUCCCUGUGCAUGCCAAGACUGCCACAUCACCUGAGAAUAUUCAUGCUUGGCCAAGCCAAACCUUCACCAGUGGCAUUUCGUGUGGAGGGUGGGGAGAGGGGGACCGACAGUCCUGCUCUGGCAAGAAGGGAGGAAGUCAUAUAACUUUUAAAUUCAACCAUUAUAAGAUACAUGCCAAGAGCACUUUGAAAGCAGAGCACCUAUUAAAAAUAGCACACCUAUUUAAACAGCUACUUCCCAUUCAUCAGGGUAUAUACAGUUUUCUUUUUGGAGGGCAGAUCUGGGGUGUCAGCUACUCUGCUCGAGCAGCUGAAACCACAGAUGAGAAAGCGCUUUGAAACCUGCAGGCUAAGUAAAGUCUCAAGGCCCUGGUUUGGGAAAGGAAGAUUCCACAGAAUUAGUACCAAGAAAUAGAUAUAUUCUGGGUACUUUCCAGGCUCCUGCCCCAAAAAGGUAUCCCUGGUCUCCAACCACAGUUCUCUGUCAUCGUCUACGACCAAAGCUCUGCCGAGGGUUGUACAUGUGCAAGGGUGAAGGAGGAGCUUGGAGGCAGGGGUCAUUUCUCCACAACCAGUUUAGGGCCAGGGGUUAAGGAGCAUGAGACAGGGACUGUCAUUUCUCUCCAGCAAAGUCAUUUUCCAUCCAGAAAAAACCCUAGACUGACCACUUGCAAGCUUUAGGUCAACUCAUUAACAUUUUUUUGCCAGAUUCCAGCACAAAUGCAAAGUAUGUGUCAGGUAGGUGAAGAGAAUAGUAACUUAGUUUUCUAAAAACCCCAAAUUGUGACUCCCAGUAUAUUGAAGAUAGACUAUCUCUGUGUGUCCAGUCAGCCACUAAGCUCCCCGUUUCAAGUAAGUCAGGGCACUGGAGGUGCACCUUGUCCAAGGUCAACUAACUCUCUGCUAAUUGGAGUGAGGAACCUACAAAACCUUUCCUUGUCCCUGGCCUUCAAUUCAGCGUUAUUUUCAAUGCAUUAAUUUACACUUUGAGAGAGGGAUACUGAGGGAAAUCAAGGCAUUCCUUAGUUCAGAAGGAAAAUUAGAGAAACCAGUAAUUACUCAACCCCCAAGGAAAUAUUGGGCCAGCAUGUCUUGGCACUUUCUUUUUCUCUCCUCUGAAAUCUUCCCCCUUUUUGUGAAAUGGGGUCCCUUAGGAGAGUGUGUGCUAGGGCCUGGGCUGGAGAGGCUGAGAGAGAAGUGGGAACCAGGGAGAAAGUUUGCCUUAGGUCAGAGCGGGAGGGCAGGGCUGAGAGGGAAGCCUGCGAGGGGGCGGUGUGGGCAUGAGAGAGAGGCAGGGUCUGAGGGAACCCAGGAAACAAGGGCAAGGAAGGUUAGGAACAGAGUCAGAAGUGGGCAGAGAGGAAGCAGACGGGAAAGACAGGAUAAAAGUAAGAAAGAAGUCAGUCAAAAGGAGCAGGGCGAGGCAACGUCCAAGCAGGACCGAAAGUCGAGGAGAGCCCGAGAGCGUCAGCGUGUGGUGAAGCUGCUGGAGAGGGAGCGCCCCGGCUCGGCUCCCGGCACGGAGCUGGAGCCCGGGCGGCAGAACCCAGGGAAGGAUGCCCGCGGCAGCGCCCAGCGGGCCGAGGUGGAGUGGGUGGGCUGAGAAAGAAACAUCAGUGUCCUGACCUGGGCCACACUGGCCAGCCCCCAGCACUGACCACUGAUCCAGCCUGAGCCUUAAUUCUGGACCACUGACCCAGACUGCACUCUGUCCCAUAGACUGGAUAUCUAAUUCCAUCCAACCAUCUCCCUUUGUUCAGAAGAGAGACCUUGGGACAGACCACAGGUGACUUGAUAAGAUCCAUCUCUACAGCUGGAAAGAAAACUCGAAGCAAAGUAAGGUUCAACAGCACCAGGACCGACCAACAGAUGAGGGCUGCCUUCAUGACUACGCCAGCAAGGGGCGUUCCCAGGACCUGCUGGAGAAGGGGUUCGUAGAAUCCUCUGUGAGGAGUGACUUAACAGGAGGGCGCCAAGGACAGGAGGCUAUCAAAAUGGGCCAAAAGUUGGGAUUCAUUAGCAUAAGAGGCCCAGGCUGAGGUAGGAUGGAGAAAUUACUGGCGUUGUCAACAAGGAUUCAAACAAAGCUAAGUGAAGUGUAAGUGGGUUAAGUGGGAUAAUUGGUGGUUCAACUCAAUCUAGGAAUGCUGAGUGCUUGCCAGCUUUUUCCUUUUAUAUGGGCCCUUGCAGGACCAAUGUGGUCUGUGCAAGUAGAUUUAUACAUUUAUAUGGUGAUUAUGAGUUUAUCACUUUAAAAUACAUGCUGUAUAAGAAGAGGCUUCACAAUCUCCCAGCUUAAGCCCUCCAGACCUCAGUUUCCUCAUCUGUGAAGUGAGAACAGUAGUAAUGCACAGCUCACAGGUUUGUUGUGGGAUCAAGGUGAUGGGUGUGAAACCACUCUUUACUGUAUAAGGCCAGGAAUAUUACUUUUAUGAUCAUUAUUAAUAAUGCUAAUAAGUGACCUCAAAAGUAUCUCCACUCCCAGGAUAAAUGCUUUCAUGCUCUUCUAAAAAGUUAUAAAAGAACACUGUCAUCUGCAACACAGGUGCCCUAUGGAAGAAGUCAGAGCAUCUACAGCGCAGUGGCAUCCAGGGCCACUGCACUGAGCAUUUGGGCAGGUCAAGCCUUGCACCCAGUGCUCUGCUGAGGAGGUGAGCAGGCAGUGAACUACAGCCAGUGGCAAGGGGCUGUGUCUAUGUUUGAGGCCAAGAAGCAUUGUACAGGCUGGCAGCGGCUCUGAUGGCCACCAGCACGCUUUGCUGAAUACUUAGGCUUGCUUGGCCUGUGCUUACUGAAUCUGCUAGUGGGGAGUCAGCUGGCUUGCUGUCUUCAGCUACUGAAGUCUUCACGAUGACCUUCCAAUCUGUAUCUCCAGAUACAUGUGGCCUCUCCUCUACUUGAAUGCCCGGCUUUCCUCUUAAACUCAUCAUAUCCACAUUCAAACCUGUGUUUUUCUCAGUUCACAAUUUGAGCUGGAUCCUCUAGUUCUCACAUUUUGUGUUUGAAUCCCCUUAUAUGGAUGCUACUUAUGACAUUUAAUGACAAGAUCACUACUGUCUGAGGGAGCCAACUCUGCUUUUAAGCAACUCUUAACAUUUUGAAACCUCUAUAUAUUGAGCCUACAAUCUGCCUACAUGUGCCUUAUAAUCAUUAAUUGCUGGUUCCUACCCUUGGGAUCACAUAGAGCAAGUCUCCAUUUUCUUCAUGACAGCUAUUCAUAGAUUCACAGGGACUAGGUUAUCUUAUGUCUUAUGGUUCUUUCUUCUAUUCCUUAUACAAGAGAUUUUGCUUCUUUCUACUCUCCCGAUCAUCAUUUUAAAACUUCCUUGUGUCUAGAAAAGGCAUCAAAGUUCUACAGCUUUUCAUUCUUUGAUUUUCUAACUCAUUCAUCCAACUAGGUGGUGUAAGUUUUCCAAUUUUGUUCUUCAUUUUCAAAUUCAUGUAAUUUGCAUUUUCAUACAAAUUUUAGAAUCAGUUUGUCAAUUUUUGCACAAAAGCAUGUAGAGAUUUUGACUGAGAUUGCAAUGACUAUCCAGAUCAAUCAAGGGAGAAUUUACAUCUUAAUAAUAAAGUGUUAUGACCCAUAAGAGUGGGUUAUCUUUCAUUAAAUUUUCUUUAACUUCCCCCAGCAAUAUUUUGAGGUUUUCUGUGUGUAUAACCUGUACACCUUUUGUAAAUUUUUUCCUAAGUAUUUCAUAAUUGCUGGUGCUCUUAUAAAUAGCAUUUAAAAAUUUUCAAUUUAUGACUGUACUACUCAAGUAUAUAAAAUACAAUUGGAUUUUGCUCUUGUCUCCCAUAACCUUGCAUUUUCUGUAUCUAUCAAAAUGAUCAUCUGGAUCUGUAAUGAUAUCCCCCCUCUCAUUCUUGUUAUUGGUAAUGUAAUGUGUAUUUUUCGUGUGUACGUGUUCUUGCAAAUAUUUGCUGCUGUUUUGUAUGCAUGUAUUUUUAAUUCAUAUAAAUGGAUCAUGUUAUUAA